rnacentral:rRNA from 1 species
CCUACGGGGGGCUGCAGUGGGGAAUAUUGGGCAAUGGGCGAAAGCCUGACCCAGCAACGCCGCGUGAAGGAAGAAGGCCUUCGGGUUGUAAACUUCUUUUAUGAGGGACGAAGGAAGUGACGGUACCUCAUGAAUAAGCCACGGCUAACUACGUGCCAGCAGCCGCGGUAAUACGUAGGUGGCAAGCGUUAUCCGGAUUUACUGGGUGUAAAGGGCGCGUAGGCGGGAAGGCAAGUCAGAUGUGAAAUCCAGGGGCUCAACCCCUGAACUGCAUUUGAAACUGCUUUUCUUGAGUGUCGGAGAGGUAGAUGGAAUUCCUAGUGUAGCGGUGAAAUGCGUAGAUAUUAGGAGGAACACCAGUGGCGAAGGCGAUCUACUGGACGAUAACUGACGCUGAGGCGCGAAAGCGUGGGGAGCAAACAGGAUUAGAUACCCGAGUAGUC